CCUACGGGUGGCAGCAGUGAGGAAUAUUGGUCAAUGGGCGAGAGUCUGAACCAGCCAAGUCGCGUGAGGGAUGACUGCCCUAUGGGUUGUAAACUUCUUUUAUAUGGGGGUAAAAUGCUCCACGUGUAGGAUUUUGUCUGUACCCUAUGAAUAAGGAUCGGCUAACUCCGUGCCAGCAGCCGCGGUAAUACGGAGGAUGCGAGCGUUAUCCGGAUUUAUUGGGUUUAAAGGGAGCGUAGGGGGAUUGUUAAGGCAGUGGUCAAAGUUUGUGGCUCAACCGUAAAAUGGCAGUUGAAACUGGCAGGCUGGAGGACAGAAGAGGGGGGCGGAAUUAGUGGAGUAGCGGUGAAAUGCGUAGAUAUCACGAAGAACACCGAUAGCGAAGGCAGCUUACUGGACUGAAACUGACACUGAGGCGCGAAAGUGUGGGUAGCGAACAGGAUUAGAUACCCCAGUAGUC
rnacentral:rRNA from 1 species